AAGAUAGAAAGACUAAAACCUAUUCUAGUCCCAGCUCCCCCGAAAUCCAAAUCUUCGUCUCGAGCCUUCCCCUCCCAUCAGAUCAUGAUCUACCGCUCCGUCAGUAAGCAACUCCACCAAGUCUUGCCUCUUCGACACCUCUCUCUCUCUCUCUCUCUCUGGUGAAUCUCUGGCUUGCCUAUAUCCGCGAAAGCUCUCUGUCUCAUGAAACAUCUCUCAGCCCUCUCUCCCCAGUUUCUAAUUCCUAAAUCCCUAAAUCCUCCACAUUCACGGGGAGCUGACUACGAUGGCCUCGAUUCUCAAGCCGUCCAAGGAGGUGAGAUGGGAAGACAACGGCGGCGUUUCGUUGCCGUUUCCGGAGAGGCAGAGGGCUCACUUCAACAGUGUUUUGAGAGCAAUGAUUGUUUUCACUACUCAGGUGAUUGCGCCAGUGAAGUGGCCUUCAAGGGGCUAGGGGACUUUUCGAAGAAGGAGCUGGACUCGGACUCGGAGUAUGAGUCGGAGGCUGAGGUGGUUGAGCCGAUUAAUGAAGACGAGCUGGCUCUUUUGAAAUUGGGCUUGCCUCAGUGGCGUGGCAUUUUUUCGCCUUUUCCCAUUCAGAUUGAGGUCUAAGAUACGGCACCACUGUCAAUAGAAUCGAUAAGAGGUGCUAUGCUUUCUCUGGGCAAACAGAGAAAACAUGGCACCCUUAUCGAUUCUAUUGACAGAUGAGGAAGGACUUGUCACGGUGGCCAUAGAGGCGGUUUCGAUCGGCCAUAGAAAAAGAAGUAUUUUGUUUUGGGUUUGGGUUUUUAUUUUGUUGCUUGCAGUUCUGUUUGGUAUUUGAGAAAAGUAUGUGUGUGUGUGUGUGUGUGUGUCUUUAUGCAUAGGCAAAUGAUUCUCUGUGUGUUUGCAUUUGCUUUGAAAGAUCUACUGUGAGAUUUAUAUGCUUGAGUUGUAAUGCUGUACACAUAAUUCACUUCUUGCAGCUCAUCGUAUUUUCAUCUUGACUAAUUAAAAUGACAUUUGUAUGUUACGGUCAUUGCUUUGAUGCAGGCAGUGAUUGAGAAAACCAAUCUGAAUCCCAAGGAAGUUGGGGAUAUUGUUGUCGGUACCGUGUUGGCUCCAGGAUCUCAAAGAGCUAGCUAGCGAAUGCAGGAUGGCUACUUUCUAUGAUGGCAUGGGAAGGGGAUAUUAAUCCUGAAGUAAAGAUCUUUGAACGAGCCUAGAAUUGCCUUCUUUUUAUGGGCGUCACCUCAGAAAAUGUUGCUUAUCAUUUUGGUGUUUCAAGACAGGAGCAAGAUCAGGUUGCAAGUUUAGAAGAUGUAACUGGAGGAGGAUUUGAUAUAUGCCAUGCUGCUGGAAGUGCCCAACAUGGCAGCUAACAUCUUUGAUGCAAAGCGCAGAGUGAUUAGUAAGACAUUCAGUGGUGGCUGUCAAUGUAAAGUUGUUUUGUUUUCAAAUAUGCUUUCUGUUCAAUUUUUAUUGGAUUUGCAUACUAUUUGGAGCUAUGGUUGUUUGAUUUUAAUGUAUGUUUUGGUCAAACAGUAUUUCAAUUGCAUUUUAUACUUGAGUAUAUUUUUUAUUCUAUUGAAAUGGGUAGGUGCUGUUUUCUUUGAUUUCUGGUAUCAUGAUUUGUGAAUUUUUGUUCUUUGCUCUGAGAAUCAAAUUGGAGGUGAGAGAAGUAUGGAUUUUUUAGUCUAGUUUUAUAUUGAAAGAUUGAGGAACGUUGGUGCAUUUUGUUCACUCCCACCUUUUUGUCUAUUUUGGUUUUACUUUGUCUUGGGUUUCUUCAGAGGUUAGCAUGAACUUUUCACAUGAUAUGGAUGAUGAAUAUGAGAAAAGUGGCAGGAGAAUGAACCCAGAAUUUCAAGCUGAAGCAUACUGGACCAGCUGCUUAGUCUCAUUGCAGGUAGGAUUGAAACUCUAGCAAUCACAGAAGCCUUUGGGGAAUUUAGGUAACCACUGUUUCUUUCAGUAUCACUGGUGUCCAUAAUCUGAAAUGUUUCUUUGAGUAUCACUGUUGUCCAUUGCUUGUAUUAAACGUAAACACUAAUUUCAGAUCUGGGAAAACACAGCUUGCACACACACACACACUGCUUAACUAUACACGUUUGUCUCUCUCCUUAAGUUGUGACGUCUUAGCAUACUGGAAAUCAUGCCAUCAUUGUGCAAAAUUCGGUUGCGGUCUUUCACUAAAAGUCUGGCAUUUGAGUAGUAAAAUGAAGUUUACAUUGACUGACUUGCAUAUCAUUCAGUUUGAUUAACAGAGAAUUGUACACUAUUAAGAAGCAUGUUACUGAAAAAGUUAUAAUUGUGGGUUUUGGACUACUGCAAUGCCAUGCCAAGUGAAGUUGAAUGCCAAUACUGCUUUUACAAUAGUGCAUGCCAUAUCUGGUCUUUCUCGAAUAAUAAACUAGUAGCUACCUAAGAUUUCCAUACUUGAAUAUGCAGUUCAAAGGCAGCAAAUAAGGCAGCUGCUGCAACUGUCCUUGGCAUCCAAGUUGGCUGUAGAUUCAGACCUAAGAUUCCAUGUAGGAGAUGAAUCUAGAGCUAAUGCUGCACAAGAUAAUGAACUAAAUGCUGCACAAGAAUAAUGCACUUGUCCAUCAGAAUCCUCAAGCAUAUGCUGCACAAGAUGGAAAUUGGAUUGCUCGUUGUAGCAUUACCUGUGGGUGAGGAUCAAACACAAUCUUGUAUAGCUUAUGAAAUUGGAAGGCAUAGUUCAAUGCAAUGUUCAAAAUGUUUAUAAAGUUGUAUAUGGUGAAUCGAUUGGAGUUUGUUUGAUGUAUCAAAGUUACUUUUAGCAUUAAUAUAGAAUUAUU